ACCACCAAAAUUAACUUAACACCAUAAAUAGUUUAACAUUAAUUAAACCAGAAAACUAAAUCAUUUUUCCACCUUAGUACGGGAGACGGAAAAGGUAAUUUUAAGCAAUAGAGAAAGUACCGCAAGGGAAAGCUGAAAGAGUAAUGAAAUAAUUCAUAUAAGCACAAAAAAGCAGAGCCUAACCCUCGUACCUUUUGCAUCAUGAUUUAGCCAGCACCACACAAGCAAAGUGACCUUCAGUUUGGAAUCCCGAAACCAAGUGAGCUACCCCGGGACAGCCUAUUUGGGCGAACCCGUCUCUGUGGCAAAAGAGUGGGAAGAGCCCCGGGUAGAGGUGAUAAACCUACCGAACUUGGUGAUAGCUGGUUGCCUAAGAAAUGAAUAGAAGUUCAGCCUCGUACCCCUUUAGCCAACUAGGAAAUGUCUAAGUAAGCAUAAAAGAGAAAUACGAGAGUUAGUUAAAGGGGGUACAGCCCCUUUAAUAAAGGACACAACCUUAAAUAGGAGGAUAAGAGUCACAUUUUAUAAAACUAGUCGUUCCAGUGGGCCUAAGAGCAGCCAUCUGAAUAGAAAGCGUUAAAGCUCAAACGACAUGCAGUUUAUUAUACUGAUAAAUAGCCCAACUCCCCUAAGAAUAUUAGGCCGUUCCAUGCCACCAUGGAAGAGACCAUGCUAGAAUGAGUAAUAAGAGGGUAUGACCCUCUCCUAGCACAAGUGUAAACCAGAUCGGACAAACCACUGGAAAUUAACGAACCCAUAAAAAGAGGGUAAUGUGUUCACUAAAGAAUUCGAGAAAAUAACACAAUAUUUACAUCGUUGAACCCACACUGGAGUGCUAUCAAGGAAAGACUAAAAGAAAGGGAAGGAACUCGGCAAACACAAGCCUCGCCUGUUUACCAAAAACAUCGCCUCCUGCAAACCCCUACGUAUAGGAGGUCCAGCCUGCCCGGUGACUACAAGUUUAACGGCCGCGGUAUUUUGACCGUGCAAAGGUAGCGCAAUCACUUGUCUUUUAAAUGAAGACCUGUAUGAAUGGCUAAACGAGGGCUUAACUGUCUCCCUUUUCAGGUCAGUGAAAUUGAUCUACCCGUGCAG
rnacentral:rRNA from 1 species